UACGUAGGCACCAAGCGUUGUCCGGAUUUAUUGGGCGUAAAGAGCUCGUAGGCGGUUCGGUAAGUCGGGUGUGAAAACUCUGGGCUCAACCCAGAGCCGCCACCCGAUACUGCUGUGACUCGAGUGCGGUGAGGGGGAGGCGGGGCGAAUUCCUGGUGUAGGCGGUGAAAUGCGCAGAUAUCAGGAGGAACACCAGUGGCGAAGGCGCCGCUCUGGGCCGUGACUGACGCUGAGGAGCGAAAGCGUGGGUAGCAAACAGG
rnacentral:rRNA from 1 species